rnacentral:tRNA from 1 species
GAGGGUAUAGCUCAAGUGGUAGUGUGCAUGCCUGGCAUGCACAAGGUCUUGGGUUCAAUCCCCAGUACCUCCU